AUACGUAGGUGACAAGCGUUAUCCGGAUUUGCUGGGCGUAAAGGGCGUGUAGGCGGUCUUGCAAGUCAGAAGUGAAAUUCCUGAGCUCAACUCGGGCGCUGCUUCUGAAACUGCAGGACUUGAGUGCUGGAGGGGAUAGCGGAAUUCCUAGUGGAGCGGUGAAAUGCGCAGAUAUUAGGAAGAACACCGGUGGCGAAGGCAGCUAUCUGGACAGUAACUGACGCUGAGGCGCGAAAGCGUGGGGAGCAAACAGGAUUAGAUACCCUGGUAGUCCGCACAGUAAACGAUGAAUACUUGUUUUCGGCGAUAUAAUGUCGGAGGCAAAGCGAAAGCGAUAAGUAUUCCACCUGGGGAGUACGCCGGCAACGGUGAAACUUAAAUGAAUUGGCGGGG
rnacentral:rRNA from 1 species